UGGAUUUCAGAUCAAACAAGUAAAUAAGAUUAUCAGAUGAUCAAACGAAACAUUGUUCAUGUUUUCAACUUCCACAUGAUACAUUCACUCUGAGGCUUAUGACUUGCUAGUUCUAUAUUUUGCUGCAUUCCUCAGCAUUCCUGAUGAGACAGAUGAUGCUGGAUUGAUGGCCUUUCUUAUCUUGAAUAUAUUGCAAGCAGUGCUAGCACAGUGCCCUGCAGUAGCAAACACGUCCUCAGUAGCCUCGCCUGCACUUUCGCCAAACCUAUCAGUGACCAUUUUGGUUGAAGCCUUUGAGGUUGCAGAGAGAGCUUGUUUUUCAGCAGCUUCAGCUGCAUCUAGAAUCUUGUUGACAGCAUCAAGUGAAGCUAAGAUGACUUCUCCUGGUACCAUGGAUAGGAAUGCCUUCCCUGCCUGGGAUUUUACUAAAGGCGCCAUAACCGAACCAGUAGCAAUGCCAACACCAUCAAGCAUAGUUUUGCUCAGCUUUUCUGUCAUCUUGGACAGCUUUCUCACACGUUUUAAGCUUUUGUUGACUUUGGAAUUCUUUGUGGCCCCAGUAGUUCUGUUGCUGCUCCUAAUUUCUUUGGCUGUAACACCAUUUUUCUCCUCUGCAGCUCGAGUUAAAAUCAUUUCCCCUCCUUUAUGGACCUGGUUACUGUAUGCAUUACUACAUUUGAAAAUUCCCUUGACAAGCUGACCAGUUCCUCCUGCAAUAGCCUUGGCCAAAACAUUGUUGUAAUCUUCAACACUUGGAGCAAACUCUUUCCAGUCAAGAUUUCUACUCCUAGUUGAUGUUGCAGACCCGGAAAAGCAAGAAUGUUCAGAAAGGAACGAAUCCAGCAAACCCAAACUGCUACUGUACUGCUCCCAGAAAGUCACACCAUAGCUCAAAGGAUCACCAUCUUUCA
rnacentral:misc_RNA from 1 species